rnacentral:rRNA from 1 species
UGCCAGACUCCUACGGGAGGCAGCAGUGGGGAAUAUUGCACAAUGGGCGAAAGCCUGAUGCAGCAACGCCGCGUGAAGGAAGAAGGGUUUCGGCUCGUAAACUUCUAUCAACAGGGACGAAAGAAAUGACGGUACCUGAAUAAGAAGCCCCGGCUAACUACGUGCCAGCAGCCGCGGUAAUACGUAGGGGGCAAGCGUUAUCCGGAUUUACUGGGUGUAAAGGGAGCGUAGACGGCAAUGCAAGCCAGAUGUGAAAGCCCGGGGCUCAACCCCGGGACUGCAUUUGGAACUGUGUAGCUGGAGUGUCGGAGAGGCAGGCGGAAUUCCUAGUGUAGCGGUGAAAUGCGUAGAUAUUAGGAGGAACACCAGUGGCGAAGGCGGCUUACUGGACUGUAACUGACGUUGAGGCUCGAAAGCGUGGGGAGCAAACAGGAUUAGAUACCCCCGUACAC